AUUGAACGCUGGCGGCAGGCCUAACACAUGCAAGUCGAACGAGUGGCGGACGGGUGAGCAAUGUCUGGGAAACUGCCUGAUGGAGGGGGAUAACUACUGGAAACGGUAGCUGCAACCGCAUACCAUCGGAUGUGCCCAGAUGGGAUUAGCUAGUAGGUGGGGUAACGGGUCACCUAGGCGACGAUCCCUAGCUGGUCUGAGAGGAUGACCAGCCACACUGGAACUGAGACACGGUCCAGACUCCUACGGGAGGCAGCAGUGGGGAAUAUUGCACAAUGGGAGAAAGCCUGAUGCAGCCAUGCCGCGUGUAUGAAGAAGGCCGUCGGGUUGUAAAGUACUUUCAGCUGGGAGGCGUUACCCACAGAAGAAGCACCGGCUAACUCCGUGCCAGCAGCCGCGGUAAUUC
rnacentral:rRNA from 1 species